rnacentral:rRNA from 1 species
AUUGAACGCUGGCGGCAUGCCUUACACAUGCAAGUCGAACGGCAACACGGGAGCAAUCCUGGUGGCGAGUGGCGAACGGGUGAGUAAUAUAUCGGAACGUGCCCAGUCGGGGGGGAUAACGCAGCGAAAGCUGUGCUAAUACCGCAUACGAUCUACGGAUGAAAGCGGGGGAUCGCAAGUCCUCGCGCGAUUGGAGCGUCCGAUAUCAGAUUAGCUAGUUGGUGGGGUAAAGGCCCACCAAGGCGACGACCUGUAGCUGGUCUGAGAGGACGACCAGCCACACUGGAACUGAGACACGGUCCAGACUCCUACGGGAGGCAGCAGUGGGGAAUUUUGGACAAUGGGCGCAAGCCUGAUCCAGCAAUGCCGCGUGCAGGAUGAAGGCCUUCGGGUUGUAAACUGCUUUUGUACGGAACGAAACGGCCCUUUCUAAUACAGGGGGCUAAUGACGGUACCGUAAGAAUAAGCACCGGCUAACUACGUGCCAGCCGCCGCGGUAA